GGGCUCUUGGCACAGGGGUAGCGCGCACGCUUCGCAUGAACAAGAAACUCAAUAAGUGACUGCGUGAGGUCGUGGGUUCAAAUCCCACAGUGUCCA